rnacentral:rRNA from 1 species
CCCUUGGAUGUCCUGGGCCGCACGCGUGCUACACUGACGCCUACAGCGAGCACUUUCCAGCCCCGAGAGGCGGCUGGUAAUCAGCAAUAGGCGUCGUGAUGGGGAUAGAUCUUUGGAAUUAUGGAUCUUGAACGAGGAAUGCCUAGUAAGCGCAGGUCAUUAGCCUGCGCUGAUUAAGUCCCUGCCCUUUGUACACACCGCCCGUCGCUCCUACCGAUUUCGAGUGGUCCGGUGAAUCUUUCGGACUGCGCGCGGCCUUGAGUCGUGUCGCGGAAAGUCAGGUAAACCUUAUCACUUAGAGGAAGGUGAAGUCGUAACA